AAGGGUGAUGGGUCAAAAGUAGAGGACACAUUUUGUUGUGUGCACGUGUGCUGUACUGCAGUGUUUCCCUUUCACUUUUACAUCAUGGUAGUCACUGACUACCAGAACCAUACAGAGCCAGUGGGUGGAUCUUAGUGUUUAUAAGUCCAUCUUUAUAAAGUGAUGUGUUACUCCUCGAGAAGACUAAAUAAUUUUGGCAAGCAAAUCAGAGUUUUCAAUUCACUUUUAAGACAAAUUUGAGCCUCCCCAACAGAAACUGUUUGUGUGAGCUUUAAACAAUUUUAAUCAUGAUCCAUUUCUCUUCCUCAGAUAUGUGUGCCUGGGAGAAAGUAUAAGCCCUCGCCCCAUUGAUAGGAUUACGGGAUACCUCUGUCCACGAGGCUACAGCUGCCCUCUUGGCAGUGCAGUGGAGAGGCCAUGUGAACCUGGCACCUACAGUCUCAACCCUGGCUCUGCUACAUGCAUAAUUUGCCCUUCUGGCACCAUGUGCCUUUUACCUGCCACUGAGGAGCCUUUGGUCUGCCCUGAAGGCCAUUUCUGUCCAGCUGGCACAACCUUUCCUGAGCCCUGUCCCAUGGGCACAGUUGGGGAUAGGACAGGUGCCCGAUCAGUGUCUGACUGUGUUCCUUGUCCCACUGGAUUUUACUGCAGCGUUCCGGGUGCCUCAGAACCACAGGGUCAGUGUCAGGCUGGGUAUUUCUGCCAGAGUGGUGCCACCAGUCCUGCCCCUCAAAACUCAACUGAGCUUGCCCGAAAUGGCCCCUGCCCUGUGGGUAGUUUCUGCCCCUUAGGCUCGCUCUCACCCCUUUCUUGUCCUACAGGCACCAUUAGAAACAUUACAGGUGGUGUUUCAGAGCACAGCUGCUUCCCAUGCCCAGCUGGAUACUAUUGUGAUGGUGAGGCUCAGGUCUCCCCCAGUGGGCCUUGUGCUGCUGGCUUCUACUGCCCUUCUGAUUACUCCUCGACAUCACCCCAAGCUUUUCUCUGUUCCAAGGCUCUUCCAUGGCUGUCCCCUGCCCUACAGGGCAGUACCAGCCAAACCCAGGCUCAGACAGCUGCAUCCCAUGUCGACCAGGCUUUUAUUGCGAAGAAGCCAUAA
rnacentral:lncRNA from 1 species